AGAACGAACGCUGGCGGCAUGCCUAACACAUGCAAGUCGAACGAGACCUUCGGGUCUAGUGGCGCACGGGUGCGUAACGCGUGGGAAUCUGCCCUUGGGUUCGGGAUAACAGUUGGAAACGACUGCUAAUACCGGAUGAUGACUUCGGUCCAAAGAUUUAUCGCCCAGGGAUGAGCCCGCGUAGGAUUAGCUAGUUGGUGAGGUAAAGGCUCACCAAGGCGACGAUCCUUAGCUGGUCUGAGAGGAUGAUCAGCCACACUGGGACUGAGACACGGCCCAGACUCCUACGGGAGGCAGCAGUGGGAUAUGACAAUGGGCGAAAGCCUGAUCCAGACAAUGCCGCGUGAGUGAGUGGAAGGACCGUUAGGGUUAGUAAACGCGUUCCGUUUUAACCCGGGAUUG
rnacentral:rRNA from 1 species